UUUCCGGGUCUUGCUCUUUGACUAUUAGGGUAUAAAUAAAGAGAGUGCGAGGUGUUGGACACAGAUCAUUCGGCUUUCGUCGCGGUCAAAACACAUUCAAGUGCAACUACUUAUCACCUUUGUUUAAAAAUGGACAAGUCAGGGCAAGCUAACAGAACAAACCAGUGCAACCCCACGCACACUCCGACCGGGCCGGGGCACAAUGCCGGAUUUAAAGGAAAUGCCAGCCAGGCCAAUAACCAUGCUAAUCAAUGCAACCCCAACAACGCCGGCUAUAAAGGAAAGAAGUAAUUUCCCAUGAAGAAAAAUACCUGCUACAUUUACAUUUUGCACUAAACAUGUUUCUUUAUUUUUUUUAAAUAGCAGAUGUAUUUUUAAUUUGUAAUAAACAUGAAAUAACU